GGUGGAGCGAUUUGUCUGGUUUAUUCCGAUAACGAACGAGACUCUAGCCUACUAAAUAGACAGUACUUCUUUAGAGUGCUGCACUUCUUAGAGGGACAAGCGACGUCUAGUCGCACGAGAUUGAGCAAUAACAGGUCUGUGAUGCCCUUAGAUGUUCGGGGCUGCACGCGCGCUACACUGAAGGCAUCAUCAUGUUUAUCAACCUACCCCGGAAGGGGCGGGUAACCCGAUGAAACGCCUUCGUGAUUGGGAUAGGGAAUUGCAAUUAUUUCCCUUGAACGAGGAAUUCCCAGUAAGUGCGGGUCAUCAGCUCGCGCUGAAUACGUCCCUGCCCUUUGUAC
rnacentral:rRNA from 1 species